UACGAAGGUGGCAAGCGUUGUUCGGAUUUACUGGGCGUAAAGGGAGCGUAGGUGGUUAGGUAAGCCCUCCGGGAAAUCUUCAGGCUUAACCUGAAAAGGUCGGGGGGGACUGCCUGGCUAGAGGACGGGAGAGGAGCGCGGAAUUCCCGGUGUAGCGGUGGAAUGCGCAGAUAUCAGGAAGAACACCCGUGGCGAAGGCGGCUCUCUGGGACGGUACUGACGCUGAGACGCGAAAGCGUGGGGAGCGAACAGG
rnacentral:rRNA from 1 species